GAUGAAGAACGCAGCAAAAUGCGAUAAGUAGUGUGAAUUGCAGAAUUCAGUGAAUCAUCGAAUCUUUGAACGCACAUUGCGCCCCCUGGUAUUCCGGGGGGCAUGCCUGUCCGAGCGUCAUUACAACCCUCAAGCUCAGCUUGGUGUUGGGCCCCGCCGCCCCGGCGGGCCCUAAAGUCAGUGGCGGUGCCGUCCGGCUCCGAGCGUAGUAAUUCUUCUCGCUCUGGAGGUCCGGUCGUGUGCUCGCCAGCAACCCCCAAUUUUUUUCAGGUUGACCUCGGAUCAGGUAGGGAUACCCGCUGAACUUAAGCAUAUCAAUAAGCGGAGGA
rnacentral:misc_RNA from 1 species